AACGGCCGCGGUAUCCUAACCGUGCGAAGGUAGCGUAAUCACUUGUUCUUUAAAUGAGGACUAGUAUGAAUGGCACCACGAGGGUUAAGCUGUCUCCUUUUUCUAAUCAGUGAAACUAAUCUCCCCGUGAAGAAGCGGGGAUUAUAAUAUAAGACGAGAAGACCCUAUGGAGCUUAAAACAAAUUAACACCUGCUUCUACCUAUUUUCCUUCCUGAACUAAUACAUAAAAUAUAGCACCAUUGAUUAAUAGUUUUCGAUUGGGGUGAUCAUGGAGUAAAAAUCAACCUCCACGACGAAAAGGAGCACUUCCCUGAGCUAAAAGCUACAACUUUAAGCACUAAAAAAAUUAACGCACUUUGACCCAAAUUUUUGAGCAACGAACCAAGUUACCCUAGGGAUAACAGCGCAAUCCAUUUCAAGAGCCCCUAUCGACAAAUGGGUUUACGACCUCGAUGUUGGAUCAGGGUAUCCCAGUGGUGCAGCCGCUACUAAAGGUUCGUUUGUUCAACGAUUAAAACCCUACGUGAUCUGAGUUCAGACCGGAGAAAUCCAGGUCAGUUUCUAUCUAUAAAGGGCUUUUUCUAGUACGAAAGGACCGAAAAAGCAUGGCCAAUGAUCAAUUAAGCCAUAUAAACUACUUAUGUUUUCAACUUAACUAGAAACAAACCUACCAUAAACCUCAAAAAAA
rnacentral:rRNA from 1 species